CAGGAGUCGAACCAGUGACCUCUUGAUACAUGGGGUAAUGCUCAAUCACUGAGCGACACUGGCCGGGCCAACUGUCAGUUUUCUAAAGUCCUCUGACUGAACUGGGCAAGUGCUGAGUUCCUGAGAGCGCCACCUUGUUAAUGCCCUAAGAGCUGCCCAGGCUGCCGGCAUCUCGUCAGGGAACAUUCCUCUGGGUGAUGCUUAGUCUGCUGGGCAGGCACAGGGUGCACUGUGGGUACUGACUAUUCUCAGACUCCUUGGUCCAGGUCCCACUUUCUAUCUGGAAGAGAAGCUCCCUGCACACUGCAAGCUGAAUAUACCAGAGGAAACGUCCAGAAUCUCACGUCCCCUCCAGCGUCAGCGUUACAGAGGAACGUGGAAUGCUUGAAACACCAGCCAUGUGUGGUAGUGUAUUUGGGGGGCGUUGGGGAGCAAUGCUGCGCACAUGCAUCUCAGGGCAGGCGGGAGCUGCGAGAAGGGGGUGGCACGGCUUAAAACUGACCUUCUAUGUAUAGGAAAGAGCACUGUGUGCCAGGCUCCAGGACACAUUAUCUUUCCCGUGUAUGGUAACAUUUCUGUACAUUCCAGGAGACGGAGAAGCAGUGAACGAAAGGGAGGAAAAGAAGGACCCAACUCAACCAAGCAGAUGGCCUCUUUAAGAUGAAUAAUCCUCUCAAACCAGAGGGAACGAAGUUGAGCCUGAAAUAAUUGAGUUUGCUGGAUAAUAUGCCAUGAUGUGAAUGUACCCCGAUUUGUUUAUCCAUUCACCAGCUGAUGAACAUCUGGGUCCUUCCUAGUUUGACCGAUUAUAACUAGAACUGUUAUGAACAUUUUGUAAAAGCUCUGUGUGGGUAUACGCUUUCUUAAAUAACCACAAGUGGGAUUGCUGGGUUAUAUGACAAUCAUACAUUUAACUCUAAGAAACUGCCAAACUGUUUUCCAAAAUUACUGUACUAUUUUUGUACUAUCAAGAGCAAUAUGAGUAUCAGUUGCUCCAUAUUCUUGUCAACACUUGGUUUUUUUAAUUUUAGCCAUUCUGGUUGUUGUGUAGUGUUAUGUCAUUGUGGUUUUAAUUUGUAUUUCCUUAAUAACCAAUGAUGUGGAACAUCUUUGCACAUGCUUAUUUGCCAUCUGUAUAUCAUCUUUGGUGAACUGCCUAUUCAAAUUUUUGCCUAUUUAAAAUUGAAUUGUUAAUGUAAUAAAUAUACCACUCUGGUGAGGGAUACUGAGAAUGGCAGAGGCUACACAUGUGUUGGGGAGGGGAUAUAUGCAAACUCUCUGUACCUUCCUCACAUUUUGCUGUGAACCUAAAACUACUCUAGAAAAAUAAAAUCU